UCCACCCAGAUACUCGGCCGAGAAUAUGGCCACCAUCGUUCUCUUUCCUUCCACUGAUUUAAGCCCAGCACUGAUUACUAAUUCUUCCGGAAGCUUAUACGCAAUCUGCUGCCAUUUGUGAUGGAUCUGUGUUGCAUUCUGUUCCAAGGUUCUUACAACUGUGAAUACAGUCACAGUUGACGGGACAUCCACUAGGUUCACUUUCCAAGCGACAAGGAUUCCGAAGCUAGCUACCCCACCUCCUCGAAUGGCCCAAAAAAGAUCUUCUCCCAUUGAUUUUCUAUCAAGAAUCCUGCCAUUAACGUCCAUCAAGUGAGCAUCAAUUACUUGAUCAGCAGCAAGACCGUAUUUACGCAUUAAGUAGCCAAACCCUCCACCACUUAAAUGUCCACCAACCCCUACAGUGGGGCAAACUCCUGCCGGAAAGGCAAGAAGGUUGUUACUUUCCUCAGAAACUUUGUAAUAUAGUUCCCCAAGGGUGGCACCAGCUCCAACCCAUGCUGUCUUCUCUUCUGCAUCGACGUCGAUUUGAUUAAAGUUUAUCAAAUCAAUCAUCACAAAUGGAACCUCAGAAACGUAAGAGAGACCCUCAUGAUCAUGACCCCCACUUCGAACUAUGGUUCGUAGGCCAUGUUUUCGGGCACAUUUGAGGACCGAUUGAAUUUGUGAUACGUGAAAUGGCGUGACAAUGACUUGAGGUCUCCGGUACUCGGGCGAUGCGUACAGAAGAUUUUGUUUUAAAUUAUUCAAUAUCGAUAUAUAUGAAGAGUUGCUUUGGGUAAAAAUUACUUUAGAAAUGAAGGUGUUCUCAGAGUGUAGAGAGAGGCAUUGAAGAAACUUCUGAUUAGUGUCGUGAUGAACAUGAUCAUCAGCUAAAGCUAUCCCAUGAAGAAAUGAUAACACAAGAACUAAAGUAGUAGUAGAAAUAUUAAAUGGGAGAAUUGAUGUAGUGCUUUUAGUUUGGGGCUUCAUUUUGGUAGAUGUCUGAUGAUGUGUGAGUAGCCAAAUGAAUUCUAUCCCUUAAAUAUAUAUCCUUUCAAUCCAACAGCUCUCCUUGACCCAAUAAUUUUAAUAGUGUGGUAUGCGGUGUAUGAUUGUUGACAAAUAUUGUAUGUUAAUAGUUUUAUAUUCUAAUCAUGAUUGAUUAUAUAUUAUGAUAUAUUACAUCAAUGCACGAACAAUUUUGCGACUGGCUGCAUGUAUAUGUUCGGACAUAGAGUGGAAUAUUUGACGGUCCUAUUGGGUGGGCUUCUUAUAUUUAUUGUGAAAUGCAGUAUGACACCUGAAACAGUCUAAAUAAAUUAAUUGUUUAAAAAAAUAUAAAGUAACAUUGCGAUUUCAUUCGGUACUUAUGUUGGGGGAGAAUAAUGCAAAAAGAUUGUUCAAAUAAUAUUUAACUUCAUCAACCCUUUCGACCGACGGUGAAAGAUCUUAACAGAAGCAGCCUUGUAAAUAGGAGAGCAUAUCGAUGACUAAAUCAGCCAGCUGUCGUUAACAACAAAUUAUCCGUUAUUCAUCUUAACACCGUUGAUACUGUUCCCCGUUUAAGCAUAAUUCCCGUCUUCUGACUAAUUUACCCUUCCCGUGAGAGCUGAUGAGGUGACACGAUGCCGCAGUGGAACCAAACCACUGUAGUCCCUACAGCCUGGCCGUUUUGAUCAUUAUCAAAAUGCAAAUGGGCAAGACAAAAAUGUUACACUAAAGAUGCAUUUAUUACUAUAAAAUUCCAGCCGCGAAUCCAUACAAAGCAGAAAUUACCAUUUAACAAAUGCGAUCAAGCAGUAGGUAGUUGAUACAUAAUCCACGAAGGUUUAUUAAAAGGGAGACUUUGUAUGCGAUCAAGCAGUAGUAGUAGUAGUUGAUACAUAAUCACUGAAGGUUUAUUGAAAGGGAAACUUUAUACUAACAACGCCAUCGAUCACGUUAUAUUAUUUUUUCAACGUCUCUAUUGAUUAAUUAAUGAUUUCUCUUCCUACUGCCCUGGCGAACGCGGGAUGGGAUGCUUUGUUCGUUUCUAAAGAAAUUAUCAGGAUCCGCCUUAGUUUUGACAUCAACCAAUCUUUUGAAAUUGUUCUUGAAGUAUUUGUUUCCCCAAACGCCGGCUUCUUCGACGCUUGUGUAAUUGUCACCAAAGUUAUUUCUUCCGAUUUCCAGAUCCUUGCAAUUGAAAUAUGUAGCUCGGGGAUUUUUGGUAACAUAGGGAGCCAUGUAAUCGUACAGCUUUCUGUCCAACUCAAUCACCCUUUGGGAUUCUUCAUCAUCAUACCAUUCCGCAUAAUACAUGAGGUGGAAUUUGUUGCUCCUGUGCGGGAAUGCGGUUGCCGUCUCCGAGAUCUCGUUGAAUCUUCCGCCAUAAGGAAAUGAAAUCACGUAAAUGUUGUGCCCUCCUUCUUCAUACAGAACCUCAUACAUCCCUUCCAAGGCUUCGACAGGAAUAGGUUCCCUCACGUAGUCAGAUUUUGCUUUCAUGUAGUAUUUGGCAUAACUAAGCCUGUCAAGCAAUAACUCCAAAUUCAGAUUCUCUUUUGCGUUGAAUGCACGAUGGUAGACGGUUGAUUCAACCCAGCUCAUUUCUUGGCAAUCUUCUUUCCUCACACCAAGCUCAGGGAACCUCUCCUGCAUCAGCGGAAGCAGCCUAUCUACUCCACCCAGAUACUCGGCCGAGAAUAUGGCCACCAUCGUUCUCUUUCCUUCCACUGAUUUAAGCCCAGCACUGAUUACUAAUUCUUCCGGAAGCUUAUACGCAAUCUGCUGCCAUUUGUGAUGGAUCUGUGUUGCAUUCUGUUCCAAGGUUCUUACAACUGUGAAUACAGUCACAGUUGACGGGACAUCCACUAGGUUCACUUUCCAAGCGACAAGGAUUCCGAAGCUAGCUACCCCACCUCCUCGAAUGGCCCAAAAAAGAUCUUCUCCCAUUGAUUUUCUAUCAAGAAUCCUGCCAUUAACGUCCAUCAAGUGAGCA
rnacentral:lncRNA from 1 species